CAUUUCAGCCAAGCAGCUCAUUCCUGCUUGCAGUUUGUACCAUCCAUGUUGCUGUUACUGCCUUUGUGGGAUUAGAGGGCGGCUGAAGGAGUGCCAGCAUGUACCAGCGGGUCCCAGUACAGUAGCAGUCACACCUGCCCUUUCUGCCUCCAGGAGAAGCAGGCUUUCCCUGGCUUUCUGCCUUCCUCCUAUCCUAACUCCUGCUCCUCCAAACCUGUACCAACUCCUCCUUGACAAUAAAGGUGAUGACGGAGAGAGCAGAAGGGAGCAGAGAGUCUCUGUAUUCCAUCCAGGAGGAGAAAGAUGAAGUGAUCCACAGGAUAAAAUCCAACUCUGGGAGCAGAAAAAAGUGUCCUGCCCUCUCGCAACUUCCUCACAGUGUUCUCUCUUGGUCCUCACAAAGCUCCUAUUACAUCACCAAUGGUCCCCACCCUUUCUUUCUCACACACCUCUUUCCUCUUUCCAUGCCACCACUGCUGCCCUUGCCUUCCUCCUCUGCUCCAUGGACAUUCCUGGCCAGGUUCAGCCUUGAGAAGGACCUGCUACUUUCAGUGUCUCCUCUGCCAAGACACUUCCCUGAGGUGCACAGCAAGGGCUUCAGGUGGGAAAUGACAGACGCUUUGGACUGCCAGGCCGCAACCCAGAAAAAUACUUUGGCACAGGGAGAUCUAAGCACGUGCAUCAUAGCAGGCAAACUGAAGGAAAAGUUCUGCUCUCUGAGCUACAUAAAAGAUCCUUGUUCUGAUAUUCCACAUUCACUGGAGCUCUGCAUGUGGUGGGAAGAAUGGAGGACCAGAACAGAGGAAGCUAAUUUGUGCUCUGUUUCAAAUGAAAUAUAGCAUCCUGUGGAAAACAUGUUUCUGAUCAGAGGAAAUAUUUGCUACACUGACAGUGAGAUUAACAAUGGAUUGAAACACAAUUUGAAUUAAAUGUUGGUGUUUUCUAUUCCAGCUCUACUACACAGAAC
rnacentral:lncRNA from 1 species